rnacentral:rRNA from 1 species
GACGAACGCUGGCGGCGUGCCUAACACAUGCAAGUCGAGCGGGGUUAUACGGAAGCUUGCUUCUGUAUAACUUAGCGGCGGACGGGUGAGUAACGCGUGAGUAACCUGCCCGUAAGACGGGGAUAACACAGAGAAAUCUGUGCUAAUACCCGAUGAAGAAAUUUUGCUGCAUGGCAGGAUUUUGAAAGAUUUAUCGCUUACGGAUGGACUCGCGUUCGAUUAGCUAGUUGGCAGGGUAACGGCCUACCAAGUCGACGAUCGAUAGCCGAACUGAGAGGUUGAUCGGCCACAUUGGGACUGAGACACGGCCCAGACUCCUACGGGAGGCAGCAGUGGGGAAUAUUGCGCAAUGGGGGGAACCCUGACGCAGCAACGCCGCGUGAAGGAAGAAGGUCUUCGGAUUGUAAACUUUUGUCGCAAAGGAAGAAAGAAAUGACGGUACUUUGUGAGAAAGCCACGGCUAACUACGUGCCAGCAGCCGCCGUAA